GUGCUGCUUCAGCAGCACAGAUACUAAAAUUGGAACAAAACAGAGACGAUUAGCAUGGCCCCUUCACAGACGUGACAUGCAAAUUCCUGAAGCGUUCCAUUUUUUU
ensembl:snRNA U6 U6 spliceosomal RNA